rnacentral:rRNA from 1 species
UCGAACCAUCUAGUAGCUGGUUCCCUCCGAAGUUUCCCUCAGGAUAGCAGGAGUUGAAGAGAAAGUGUGUGUGACAGUUUUAUCAGGUAAAGCGAAUGAUUAGAGGUCUUGGGGGCGCCAAGUCGCCUUAGCCUAUUCUCUAAACUUUAAAGUGGGUAAGCAGCGGGCCGUUUCUUUGGUGAACGCCCGCGCGCGUGUGCAAUGUCAACAACUCUUAGUGGGCCAUUUUGGUAAGCAGAACUGGCGAUGCGGGAUGAACCGAACGUCGAGAUACGGUGCCAGAAUUCACGCUCAUUGGACACCACAAAAGGUGUUACUUCAUCUAGACAGCAGGGCGGUGGCCAUGAAAGUCGGCAUCCGCUAAGGAGUGUGUUAUGACUCGCCUGCCGAAUGAAGUAGCCCUGAAAAUGGAUGGCGCUUAAGCGUGAUACCUAUACUCGACCGAUAGUGCGAAUGCAAUGCAAUGCGUGUGCACUAUCGAGUAGGAGGGC